rnacentral:rRNA from 1 species
CGGACGGGUGAGUAAUGCUUGGGACAUGCCUUGAGGUGGGGACAACCGUUGGAAACGACGGCUAAUACCGCAUAAUCUCUACGGAGCAAAGGGGGCUUUUAGCUCUCGCCUUUAGAUUGGCCCAAGUGGGAUUAGCUAGUUGGUGAGGUAAUGGCUCACCAAGGCGACGAUCCCUAGCUGGUUUGAGAGGAUGAUCAGCCACACUGGAACUGAGACACGGUCCAGACUCCUACGGGAGGCAGCAGUGGGGAAUAUUGCACAAUGGGCGCAAGCCUGAUGCAGCCAUGCCGCGUGUGUGAAGAAGGCCUUCGGGUUGUAAAGCACUUUCAGUCAGGAGGAAAGGUUAGUAGUUAAUACCUGCUAGCUGUGACGUUACUGACAGAAGAAGCACCGGCUAACUCCGUGCCAGCAGCCGCGGUAAUACGGAGGGUGCGAGCGUUAAUCGGAAUUACUGGGCGUAAAGCGUACGCAGGCGGUUUGUUAAGCGAGAUGUGAAAGCCCCGGGCUCAACCUGGGAACAGCAUUUCGAACUGGCAAGCUAGAGUGUGAUAGAGGGUGGUAGAAUUUCAGGUGUAGCGGUGAAAUGCGUAGAGAUCUGAAGGAAUACCGAUGGCGAAGGCAGCCACCUGGGUCAACACUGACGCUCAAGUACGAAAGCGUGGGGAGCAAACAG